rnacentral:tRNA from 1 species
GAGGUUGUGGCUCAGUGGCAGAGCGCUUGCCUAGCAUGUGUGAGGCACUGGGUUCAAUCCUCAGCAGCACCA